GUCAGCUCGUGUCGUGAGAUGUUGGGUUAAGUCCCGCAACGAGCGCAACCCUUGUCCUAUGUUGCCAGCACGUAAUGGUGGGGACUCGUAGGAGACUGCCGGGGUCAACUCGGAGGAAGGUGGGGAUGACGUCAAAUCAUCUAUGCCCCUUAUAUCCAGGGCUGCAAACAUGCUACAAUGGCCGGUACAAAGGGCUGCUAAACCGCGAGGUGGAGCGAAUCCCAUAAAGCCGGUCUCAGUUCGGAUUGGAGUCUGCUAACUCGACUCCAUGAAGCUGGAGUUGCUAGUAAUCCCGGAUCAGCAACGCCGGGGUGAAUACGUUCCCGGGCCUUGUACACACCGCCCGUCACACCAUGAAAAGUUGGAAAACGCCCGAAGCCAGUGGCCCUAACCCUUUGGGAGGGGAGCUGUCGAAGGUGGAAUC
rnacentral:rRNA from 1 species